rnacentral:rRNA from 1 species
AUUGAACGUUGGCGGCAGGCCUAAUACAUGCAAGUCGAACGGCAGCACAGAGAGCUUGCUCUUGGGUGGCGAGUGGCGGACGGGUGAGUAACGCGUAGGAAUCUACCCAGUAGCGGGGGAUAGCCCGGGGAAACUCGGAUUAAUACCGCAUACGCCCCACGGGGGAAAGGCCGGGAUCUUCGGACCGGUCACUAUUGGAGGAGCCUGCGUUGGAUUAGCUUGUUGGUGGGGUAAAGGCCUACCAAGGCUACGAUCCAUAGCUGGUCUGAGAGGACGAUCAGCCACACUGGAACUGAGACACGGUCCAGACUCCUACGGGAGGCAGCAGUAGGGAAUAUUGGACAAUGGGCGAAAGCCUGAUCCAGCCAUGCCGCGUGAUAGAUGAAGGCCCUCUGGGUUGUAAAUAUCUUUUAUCUGGGAAGAAACUCCUCUAUUCUUAGAGGCCUGACGGUACCAGAGGAAUAAGCACCGGCUAACUCCGUGCCAGCAGCCGCGGUAAAGUCAG